GCUGCCUGUUGCUAACCCACGUGACCGGCGUCGGCACGCUCCGCCCCUGCUCCUGCUAGCCCGGCGCGUUCCUGCGGACGUGCGUUGCUGCCUGGCCCCAGGCUCGAGUCCUGCGCUGGAUGCUGCGAGCGGUCGUCAGCGAUGCAGCCGCCGGCCACAAGGUGGCAGUGCCGCGCUGCGUGUCCACCCGCCCCUCGCCGCGCCAGCGCAGCCCUUCCUUGCAAAAGUUUUCCAGCCUGCGAGCAGACGCGCCCCGGCCUUGAGCUCUCCCGGGCAAGCCGGGGAAACCCGUCGUGGUCCCGGGUGACUUUGGGGCGAUAUACAAGGAACGCAUUCGUUGUCACGAACUGGAGAAACAGUUUGGAGGGGCCUGUCACAGAUGCAAAGUCUGUUGAUGUUUGCAGGGGUGUUUGGUUUUGGCUUUAGGGAUCGUACACGAAGCAUCAAUUCUGUAGGAGGCGUACAACACUGACAGCUAUUCUUUGUCUCUCGUCUGGGCUUUGCACGGAGCCCCGCGUCGCUUUCCGUGGGCGAGAGGCACACGCCAUCGCUGCCACCACCACGAGAGAUACCCCUUCUGCAGGGAUCUCGACCUGCCUAGAAAGGGAGGGCCCAGGAGCCUCCUGUUCUGCAGCUGUCCUCAGGAUGCCCUUAAUUCCCAGGCGGAGGGAUAAGCUUGUCUGACCCCAUUUGACCCCGCCGCAGGCGCCAGGCGUCCUCAUUUAGUGUGAGGCCUAAGAGAGUCCUCUAGGCUGCCUGCCUCCCCCGCCAUCUCCCCCUUCCUUCUUGUCCUGUGGAGGAGCGGGAGAGUCGUAUGCCCCCUUCUCUCAUAGGCACAAACCUGCCCCUCUGAGUUUUUACUUUAAAUCAGGUGUUGCUGGGAAACAGCGAGGUCUGGGGGAGGCGGAAGGCAAUGCUAGUAAUCGGGGCUGCGUUGCUAACAUGUGGAGCAGGAAAGGGAAACACAUCUGGGAUUCCACGGGGCAGCUGCGGUUCUGUCACCUGGGCAGAGCCUUUGAGCUGCUCCUAGGUCAUUUCCUAGUGUCUUCAGUCUGCUUUCACCUGACGUUCAUCUGCAUCCGACAGGCCCCCAAAAGGAGCCCUGCCUUGCUGAGUGCUGGAAUUUUUGCUGAGCCCAUGACUAUAGCCCAUGCUAUAACUAUACUCUCCUGCCUCCGUUCCCAGGAGAGGUGUAGACUGUCUCUUGGAGCUUGCUUGGAGGAUGUCGCCAUGCCUCAUUUCCAGACUAAAGACCAAGAAGAGACCAGCAGGAAGCAGAACAGAUUCUACAGAGGUGAAUGCUGGAGAAUCACCAGGAGAGAUUUACAGAAGCCUCCACAGACUACGACACAGCCUGGAUCAUGAGCCAGUGGUUGGCAAAGCAGAGCAGAAAGGAAGCAAACGCUCAUCCACCAUGCGCUCACACGCAGAGCCAGCCUGCAGAUAUGGUGAGAGGUCAUUGCGACGGUCAAGUUUUUCGGUUUGUUUGGACUAUAGUUUGUACAGCUAAAACAUGGACAACUCACAAAUCCUGGGAUGGACCAGGAAGGCCAUUCGGUGAGAUUUUUGUUCAGCUGGGGGUGGUGACAAUAAACACAGCAUUAUGGUUAAUGUGUUACAUAUGUUAUCGGCUCGCUUACUCCUCCUGGUACCCUUGAGGGGUCAGCUUUCUUAAGUCCCUCUUUAGAGUCGGGGCAGCGGAACGCUGGAGACUUGAGAAUCUUGACUACGUUUUGCAGCUAAUAAAUGGGAAGUUGAUAUUUGAA